rnacentral:rRNA from 1 species
GAUGAACGCUGGCGGCGUGCCUAAUACAUGCAAGUCGAGCGAACGGAUAAGGAGCUUGCUCCUUUGAAGUUAGCGGCGGACGGGUGAGUAACACGUGGGUAACCUACCUAUAAGACUGGAAUAACUUCGGGAAACCGGAGCUAAUGCCGGAUAACAUUUGGAACUGCAUGGUUCUAAAGUAAAAGAUGGUUUUGCUAUCACUUAUAGAUGGACCCGGGCCGUAUUAGCUAGUUGGUAAGGUAACGGCUUACCAAGGCAACGAUACGUAGCCGACCUGGGAGGGUGAUCGGCCACACUGGAACUGAGACACGGUCCAGACUCCUACGGGAGGCAGCAGUAGGGAAUCUUCCGCAAUGGACGAAAGUCUGACGGAGCAACGCCGCGUGAGUGAUGAAGGUUUUCGGAUCGUAAAACUCUGUUAUUAGGGUAGAACAAAUGUGUAAGUAACUGUGCACAUCUUGACGGUACCUAAUCAGAAAGCCACGGCUAACUACGUGCCAGCCGCCGCCGUAA